CUGCCUGGGUGUUCCGGGGCAUCUUCCUCUUCCUCACAGCGUCCUCCUCCAUCUGGCCAAGGUUUGGGAGUAGGAAAUCCUGGGGGACUGGGGGCGAUG